rnacentral:tRNA from 1 species
GGGGGAUUAGCUCAUCUGGCUAGAGCGCGACGCUGGCAGUGUCGAGGUAACGAGUUCGACUCUCGUAUCCUCCA